CAAUAGCGUAUAUUGAAGUUGUUGCGGUUAAAAAGCUCGUCGUUGGAUUUCUGUUGAGGUCGAACAGUGCCGCCCUACGGGUGCGCAACUGGCUCGGCUUCGGCAUCUUCUUGGAGAGCGCAUCUGCACUUAACUGUGUGGAUCGUACUUCAAGUCAGUUACUUUGAGGAAUUGUGAGUGUUUCAAGCAGGCUUACGCCGUUGAAUCCGUUAGCAUGGAAUAAUAGGAUAGGACCUCGGUUCUAUUUUGUUGGUUUUGAGAGCUGGGGCAGCGAUUGAUAGGGACGGAUGGGGGCGUCCGAACUUUACUGUCAGAGGUGAAAUUCUUAGAUCGGUCAAAGGCGAACUACUGCGAACGCAUUCGCCAAGAAUGUUUUCUUUAA
rnacentral:rRNA from 1 species